AACGAACGCUGGCGGCGUGCCUAACACAUGCAAGUCGAACGAGAAAGGGGCUUCGGCUCCGAGUAAAGUGGCGCACGGGUGAGUAACACGUGGGUAACCUGCCUCUAAGAUUGGGAUAACUCGUCGAAAGAUGAGCUAAUACCGAAUAAGACCACAGUUCCCGCGGGAACAGGGGUCAAAGGUAGCCUCUGCUUGCAAGCUAUCACUUAGAGAUGGGCCUGCGCACCAUUAGCUAGUUGGUAGGGUAACGGCCUACCAAGGCAAAGAUGGUUAGCUGGUCUGAGAGGAUGAUCAGCCACACUGGAACUGAGACACGGUCCAGACUCCUACGGGAGGCAGCAGUGGGGAAUAUUGCGCAAUGGGCGAAAGCUUGACGCAGCAACGCCGCGUGAGUGAUGAAGGCCUUCGGGUCGCAAAGCUCUGUCGGGAGGAACGAAUGCUCCUGAGGUUAACAGCCUCGGGAGGUGACGGUACCUUCAAAGGAAGCACCGGCUAACUCUGUG
rnacentral:rRNA from 1 species